rnacentral:rRNA from 1 species
UAUGGCUCAGAACGAACGCUGGCGGCAUGGAUAGGCAUGCAAGUGAACGAACUCCUUCGGGAGUGAGUAGCGGAAGGGUGAGGAACGCGUGAGUAAUCUGCCCCCCAGUUGGGAAUAACAGUUGGAAACGACUGCUAAUACCGAAUGUGGCUUAAGCUUCGCCUGGAGCUUUGGCUAAAGAUUUAUCGCUGGGGGAUGAGCUCGCGUCCCAUUAGGUAGUUGGUGAGGUAACGGCUCACCAAGCCGACGAUGGGUAGCUGGCCUGAGAGGAUGGUCAGCCACACUGGGACUGAGACACUGCCCAGACUCCUACGGGAGGCUGCAGUCGAGAAUCUUGGGCAAUGCGCGAAAGCGUGACCCAGCAAUGCCGCGUGUAUGAUGAAGGCCCUCGGGUCGUAAAGUACUGUCUCCCGUGACGAAAUUUGACGGUAGCGGGGAAGGAAGCCACGGCUAACUACGUGCCAGCCGCCGC